rnacentral:lncRNA from 1 species
AAAAAAAACAAAAAACCAUGACUUUGUAAAUGACUUUCUGGUGAUUGUAAUCAGUAUUCUCUUGCUUUGCAGUUGUUUCAAUAACUAAUACACAGCUGUAUUGAUUGCGAAGUUUAAGCAGGCAUAAUUGCCUUCUAGGUUAAUGAAUUGUACCCACAGUGAGUUUGUGAGUGUGUGGUAGGUGUUUGGAAUGAGUCUGAGUCAGCGGGCAGCUCACAGUCAAGCUGGUAAUUUAUUGCACAAAACCAGGAAAGCCAAAGGAACAGAAGAAUUCUUAAAUACGCUAAGGGAUCUCAGUAUGCGUAUGCAAAGAAAAACAUUUGAAAUUGAAAACCACCACCUGGACCACUUCACAAGCAACCCACUGUUAAAUGAAUCAUAUAUUCAAAAUUCUACUACAAAAUUGUUGUGCAGUGUUUUGACACACAAUGCUGUUAAUGUUAAAAAUUCCUGAAGAUUUAAAGGAGAGUUUCUCUCUCUAUAUAUAUAUGAAUAAAAUACUCUUGGCAUACUACUGCA